GACAGAGGUGCCGAGCGUUAGGCGGAAUCACUGGGCUUAAAGCGUGUGUAGGCGGACUUCUAAGUACCUUGUGAAAUCCCACGGCUCACCCGUGGAACUGCUGGGUAUACUGGUCGUCUUGAGCCACCUAGGGGCCAGCGGAACAAAUGGUGGAGCGGUGAAAUGCGUAGAUAUCAUUUGGAACGCCAACGGUGAAAACAGCUGGCUGGGGGUGUGCUGACGCUGAGACACGAAAGCCAGGGGAGCGAACGGG
rnacentral:rRNA from 1 species